GACGAACGCUGGCGGCGUGCUUAACACAUGCAAGUCGAACGGAAAGGCCCUGCUUUUGUGGGGUGCUCGAGUGGCGAACGGGUGAGUAACACGUGAGUAACCUGCCCUUGACUUUGGGAUAACUUCAGGAAACUGGGGCUAAUACCGGAUAGGAGCUCCUGCUGCAUGGUGGGGGUUGGAAAGUUUCGGCGGUUGGGGAUGGACUCGCGGCUUAUCAGCUUGUUGGUGGGGUAGUGGCUUACCAAGGCUUUGACGGGUAGCCGGCCUGAGAGGGUGACCGGCCACAUUGGGACUGAGAGACGGCCCAGACUCCUACGGGAGGCAGCAGUGGGGAAUAUUGCACAAUGGGCGGAAGCCUGAUGCAGCAACGCCGCGUGCGGGAUGACGGCCUUCGGGUUGUAAACCGCUUUCGACUGUGACGAAGCGUGAGUGACGGUAAUGGGUAAAGAAGCACCGGCUAACUACGUG
rnacentral:rRNA from 1 species